ACAUGUUGAAAUCAAUCCGUUUGGUAUUUGAGAGCCAGUGGAGCACGUCAAGGAGUGGUGUGAUGGCGGGUGCAGAGUUUUGUGCAGUUUCACUGCAGGCGAAAAGCAGAGAAGAGAACAGAACAGAACCACUCCAGAAGUUCCAAAACAAUGGCACAUUAAAAUAGAGGUCAUUCUCAAGGUCAAAAACAACCCCAAAAUCGUGUUCUCCUCCACACCCCCUCUCAAGCACCCUUGAUCCUCGCUUCUGAUACCAAGUGCGAUGAGGACCUGGACAUCUUUAUUUCUAAGAUAGAUAACAUGCCAGGUUUCCUCCCCUUCCUCCCCCACACCCAUGCUGCCUACCAACCCCCAUGUCUCCUUCAUCACCCUC